rnacentral:rRNA from 1 species
UCCGAGUUGUAAUUUGAAGAAGGUAUCUUUGGGUCUGGCUCUGUCUAUGUUUCUUGGAACAGAACGUCACAGAGGGUGAGAAUCCCGUGCGAUGAGAUGAUCCAGGCCUAUGUAAAGUUCCUUCGAAGAGUCGAGUUGUUUGGGAAUGCAGCUCUAAGUGGGUGGUAAAUUCCAUCUAAAGCUAAAUAUUGGCGAGAGACCGAUAGCGAACAAGUACAGUGAUGGAAAGAUGAAAAGAACUUUGAAAAGAGAGUGAAAAAGUACGUGAAAUUGUUGAAAGGGAAGGGCUUGAGAUCAGACUUGGUAUUUUGUAUGUUACUUCUUCGGGGGUGGCCUCUACAGUUUAUCGGGCCAGCAUCAGUUUGGGCGGUAGGAGAAUUGCGUUGGAAUGUGGCACGGCUUCGGUUGUGUGUUAUAGCCUUCGUCGAUACUGCCAGCCUAGACUGAGGACUGCGGUUUAUACCUAGGAUGUUGGCAUAAUGAUCUUAAGUCGCCCGUCUUGAAACACGGACCAAGGAGUCUAACGUCUAUGCGAGUGUUUGGGUGUAAAACCCGUACGCGUAAUGAAAGUGAACGUAGGUGGGGGCCCGUAUGGGUGCACCAUCGACCGAUCCUGAUGUCUUCGGAUGGAUUUGAGUAAGAGCAUAGCUGUUGGGACCCGAAAGAUGGUGAACUAUGCCUGAAUAGGGUGAAGCCAGAGGAAACUCUGGUGGAGGCUCGUAGCGGUUCUGACGUGCAAAUCGAUCGUCGAAUUUGGGUAUAGGGCGAAAGAC